AUGGAAGGCAGCAGUGGGGAAUAUUGCACAAUGGGCGAAAGCCUGAUGCAGCGACGCCGCGUGAGUGAUGAAGUAUUUCGGUAUGUAAAGCUCUAUCAGCAGGGAAGAUAAUGACGGUACCUGACUAAGAAGCACCGGCUAAAUACGUGCCAGCAGCCGCGGUAAUACGUAUGGUGCAAGCGUUAUCCGGAUUUACUGGGUGUAAAGGGAGCGCAGGCGGUACGGCAAGUCUGAUGUGAAAGCCCGGGGCUCAACCCCGGUACUGCAUUGGAAACUGUCGAACUAGAGUGUCGGAGGGGUAAGUGGAAUUCCUAGUGUAGCGGUGAAAUGCGUAGAUAUUAGGAGGAACACCAGUGGCGAAGGCGACUUACUGGACGAUAACUGACGCUGAGGCUCGAAAGCGUGGGGAGCAAACAGGAUUAGAUACCCUGGUA
rnacentral:rRNA from 1 species